GUGGGGAAUAUUGCGCAAUGGGGGAAACCCUGACGCAGCAACGCCGCGUGAUUGAAGAAGGCCUUCGGGUUGUAAAGAUCUUUAAUUGGGGACGAAAAAAAUGACGGUACCCAAAGAAUAAGCUCCGGCUAACUACGUGCCAGCAGCCGCGGUAAUACGUAGGGAGCAAGCGUUAUCCGGAUUUACUGGGUGUAAAGGGCGAGUAGGCGGGCUGACAAGUUGGGAGUGAAAUCCGGGGGCUUAACCCCCGAACUGCUUUCAAAACUGUUAGUCUUGAGUGAUGGAGAGGCAGGCGGAAUUCCCAGUGUAGCGGUGAAAUGCGUAGAUAUUGGGAGGAACACCAGUGGCGAAGGCGGCCUGCUGGACAUUAACUGACGCUGAGGCGCGAAAGCGUGGGGAGCAAACAGGAUUAGAAACCCCAGUAGUCC
rnacentral:rRNA from 1 species